AGACAACGAGGUUUUGUUUCAGGAGUACUUUAGCCAGCACUUUUUCUGGAACACUUUUCAAGUUCUGUAUUUAAUGGAAGUCAAAAGCUGAUCUUUUUUUGUUCAUUUGUUGGUUCUUUUGGGUUUUCUUUUUCUAAAAAAAAAAGAUUGGAAAGAGAGGGGAAGGAAAAGAAGAAAGAACGAAAGUGGAAAGAAGAAAGGAAGAAAAGAAAAAUAUAUUUGGGGGGAGAGAAAUAAACUUGAUUUUUUUUGAGAAUGGCAUGGAGGCGAUUUUGUUUUAACCAGACUGUGUCGUCGGCCCCUUUCCCGCCCCCAUGCCCCCCAUCACCCACCCACCCACCCACCCCCAUCCAGCAAAAAGACAAUCGAAGGGUUCCAGGCACCACCCAGGCGGAGUGUGAGAACAUGAGGGUCUCCAUGUUCCUUCUCGCCAGCCAGCCAGCCAGCCUCCCACCCACGGCAUGCAUACGAGGAACACACCGGAAGGCAACAGACCCAGGCCGGCCACGGAGGAGAGGACAUUUAUUUUUCCCUUCUUUCAGCCGGGGAGAGGGACGGAGGGGAGGAAAUGACGGACUCAAAUGAAAACUCACUAAUGGAGACUGAACACUUGGCAUUUUCCUCCUCAUCAUCUCCCAACCCUUUCUCUUGUGCGGGUUUCUUAUUUUUCUCCCAGUUUGUUUGCCUGCAUUCUUGUUUUUCUUUUUCUUUUUUUUGGAAAUGCUUUUGUUGCUUACUUUUUUUGGAGAGCCCAGGAAUUUUGACAAGUCUGUGAAUGGAUCUUGGAAACGCCAUGACAUCCCAUUUCCAUGCUCAAGAGGAAGAAGACCCUCCCUCGGCUCUUGCGACAGACUGGGGCUGCUCUUGACAUUGUGGGGCGGGAUAGGAAGGAGUGGGAGCUGCACCGGAAGGACCCUCACCCACCCACCCACCCACCCAGAAGGCCCGUCACGAAGACAGAAGCCUGGCCUGGCCUUGCCUUUCCCGCCCCGUCCCGCCCUCUCUCUGUGUCCCCGUGCCCCCCUGUGUUGCUGCCUGUCCCGACCGACCCCCGUCUCUGUCCCCAAAAUGCUUUUGUCUCCUCUGUCGAGAAGCAAGCGAGGGGGUGCGAAGAGCAGUUCUGGGGGGGGGGGGGCUUGGCUUUUCUUUCUGCACAAAACCAGCAAUUGUAAAUACUUUUCAGAAAUUUUAAAAAAAGAAAGUUAA
rnacentral:lncRNA from 1 species